rnacentral:rRNA from 1 species
UACGUAGGUGGCAAGCGUUGUCCGGAUUUACUGGGCGUAAAGGGCGUGCAGGCGGUUUGUUAAGUGCAGGGUGAAAGCUCCCGGCUCAACUGGGAGAGGUCCUUGCAUACUGGCAAACUCGAGGGAGGCAGAGGAAAGUGGAAUUCCCGGUGUAGUGGUGGUAUGCGUAGAUAUCAGGAGGAACACCUGUGGCGAAGGCGGCUUUCUGGGCCUUGCCUGACGCUGAGACGCGAAAGCGUGGGGAGCGAACCGG